rnacentral:lncRNA from 1 species
GUGCCCGUGCAUUACCAAUGACCACCUUUCUAGCUACUUUCAAGGCCCUCGCAAUCAUUCUAUGGUUAAGUUGCACAUUGUACUCCUCAAUCAUGUGAUCCAUUGCCUGCCUUGGUUUCAUAUCAGGAUGGAUAAGUAGUCUCUUAAUGAGCUUCGAUGCCACCCAGCCCCUAUCUGCCAUGUUGCUGCCAUAGUCUCUGGCACAUGUGUGCUCAUCUAUCAGAGUUUU